rnacentral:misc_RNA from 1 species
AACAUCGCGCACCUGCGGGAACCUGCGGAAGGAUCAUUACCGAGUUUACAACUCCCAAACCCCUGUGAACAUACCUAUACGUUGCCUCGGCGGAUCAGCCCGCGCCCUGUAAAACGGGACGGCCCGCCCGAGGACCCUAAACUCUGUUUUUAGUGGAACUUCUGAGUAAAACAAACAAAUAAAUCAAAACUUUCAGCAAUGGAUCU